GGAGUUGGAAUGUAGAAUGUUUAUUAGAGAGUGCUCUUAGAAUCAGCACCCAUGGCAGGGUAGGGAAGGAAGCAGGACUGGGCAGAUGGAACAUUGAGCUUUGACCCAGGCCUGACAACAGUUUCAGCUGACUCCUCAGAGAGUUUUAGAGCUAAAACAGGCCAUCAGAUUUCCCCAGGUAAAGCCAAAACGGUUGGACUUUUAUACCUACCCUUUGAUCAGUCAUUGGGUGUGGGCCACCCUGGGAAUGGGCUGACCUUAGGCAAGGUGGCUCUGUGCAGCUGAGGAAAUCCCUGGAGGGGCUGACAGCUGAAGGCUGCCAGUGGACAGCUCUCCCAGCAGCUGGGCAACACACUCAUUUGAAGAGGAUCUGGGCCCCCACUCUCCACAUUCACCACAAAAAGCCUGGCACAUGACGUCAGAAAAACAAAAGGUAGUUCCCUUUCCUUCCCAUCAUCAGGCCCUCUCAGUCAUAACAGAGUACCCAAUCUCUUUGAGCCUUCUCACAAGUCACAAUCGCUGCCACCACGCCCUCCAUUCUCAGAGAAGUUUACCUACUUCUUGGCUUUUUAGCAUUGGAAGUACCCCCUCCCUGAUCAUUUACUACUUUCUCUAUCUCAACUAAACACAUACUUUCUCCCUCUGCACUCACAAACUUGUUAAAAGCACCUAUAUUUUUUUCUGCGAUAAGGUCUAUUAUUUUACAAGUGUAUGUAUUUUAUAUUUUUGUUCAUCUGAAUGGUCUUAAUUUCUCUAUUUGUAUUACCUGUAAGGAUCUUAAAGAGCAAUAGUGCAUUUAACACUUGAUAAUAUUUUAAAAUUUUGACCUAUGCAUCAAGAGGCCAGCACCAUCAUUUCAGCCCAUAUCAAACAUCCAGUCCAUAUUCCUUGAAGACCUAAGAGACAUCUAGAACUGGGGCAACGACUUCUAACCAGAGCUCCCACUACAAUCAGUUUUGGAAAUUGGAGAAUGAAUUGAGCUCUUCUGAAAUACAAAUUUUUCUAGGUGCUGCAUCCCAGAUUCAGAAAGAAAAUUCAUCUGGACACUGUGAGAUUUCUGGAAUUCCCAAUUUUGCAGCAGGAAUCACGGUGAUGUCUGCAGAGCAUCUUUGUUCCUAUCUGGUCCAUGUGAAGUAAUGGGAGAAGAAUGUCCUGGCAGUAGCAACAGCAGAGGCUGGACGCAAGCUUUGUUCUGUUACCCUCAUCUCUUCUCAGCUGCUUUCAGACUUCAAAAAUGAACUUUCUGGUUUCAACAUUCACACCAUCUUAUAGUCAUUAUGGCAGAAUGAUAUCUGGACUCUGCCUAGGCACUGUAUUGACACCUUGGCUAUGCAUUAGGUUACAAAGCCAAAACCAAAGCUAAGGGGCGUUCAACAUAAUUGCUCCAAAUGACAGAAAUACCCAGGCAUAAUUCUUUGAUGGGCCUUUCUAUUGCAAAGAUAUGUAGAGAGAAUCUGGUUAUCUACAGCAACUAUCAGAUAAUUCUGUCAUGUUCAUUUCAUACUUUGGGAGGUAGAAGAGUGAGGAUGAGAGAUAUAAAAUGAAUGCACUGGCCAUGCAUAUAAGUCAGCCAUAUCACCUAGAAUGAAAAAAUUGUCAAGUGGUCUCCAAAUAAGGAGUAAAACCAAGUCUCAUGUUUGAUUCAUGUGUCUAUGGAAAACGUAUUUAUUUCAUUUCUAGGGACUACGUAGGCCAUGAAAGCUGGUAAUGUGUCAAUAGUCAGGCUUCUAGCCUUCAGACUCACAUUUGGGGACAAAGAAAAAGAAUUCUUGGGAUCUCAAUAGCAAGGUCUAGUGGAAGAAUUGUAUGUGUUCCUCCUAAAACUCUCCCAGCUAGGCUAAUGGGAAUACAGAAUAGCAUAUAAUACGUAUUUCUGCACAAGUUUUCCAUGAACAGAAAAGGGGCCAUAAUGGAGAGUGUAUACAGGAAAUCAAGAGAUGAUCAGAAAAUUAUAAUAAAACACAGUCUAUCUUAGCAAAAACGGUAACCUGGUCAAAACCACAUCCUGGUAAAAUAUUUUGCCAGCAUCCUCUGGGUAUUGAGUACCUUUUUUGCUUUUGCUUUCUCAUUAGAAAUGCAAACAUUAUGUGUGGUUUAUUUUUUCCCUCAAGAAUUUCCUCAGUGGCCUUUUCCCACUAGUUUUGAUGUCCUCAUGAAAUUAAGAGAAAACAACUGUGGGAAAGGAAUAAGUGUGUAUAGCAACCAGCA
rnacentral:lncRNA from 1 species